GGCAGACUAUUGCAAAAAGGGCACGGGGCAGAGGGACUAUGUUGUGAGCCUGCGAAAGAAGUUUGUGUGGGGACUGUGGGCAGUGAACGCGUUGGGAACAAUAUGGAAAACUGGGAGCCGCCUUGGAAUCUACAGGGCCGGGACCCACUCGAGCCAUCCACACUUGCCCCAGCCUCCUCCAAAACAGCACACUUUCCGGCUGAAGAAAAGAAGAAUGGUAUUCACGCAGUUCCCAUUUUACAGAUGAAAACAAGAGGACUUUUUCUGUGAAGUCAAGAAAGUGGUUACAAUGGUACUUUCAGCCUGUCCGAAUUAUGUAUUGCCCCUCCCCUUUUUAUUAAUAACAUUGAAGUGUGAUGGGACAACCACUGAAGCCGUCAGUUGAAACCUGCUGGGACUUUUUAGCCAUUCUCUUCAACAUAAAGAAUGGGUGUUUUUGGAGGGGGUGAGAGGAAUGGGGAAAUGUUGUCAAAGAGUACAAUGUUUUAGUUGAGACAGGAAGAAUAUAUUUUGUUGAGAUCUACAGCACAGCAUGGUGACUGUAGUUAACAAUGAAGUAUUGUGUAUUUCCAAAUUGCUAAGACAAUAAAUUUCAAAUGUUCUCACCACAAAAAAG
rnacentral:lncRNA from 1 species